rnacentral:rRNA from 1 species
AGCAGUAGCCGCGGGAAUACGAAGGGGGCUAGCGUUGCUCGGAAUGACUGGGCGUAAAGGGCGCGUAGGCGGUUUAUACAGUCAGAUGUGAAAUUCCUGGGCUCAACCUGGGGACUGCAUUUGAUACGUAUGGACUUGAGUGGAGAAGAGGGUCGUGGAAUUUCCAGUGUAGAGGUGAAAUUCGUAGAUAUUGGAAAGAACACCGGUGGCGAAGGCGGCGACCUGGUCUUUAACUGACGCUGAGGCGCGAAAGCGUGGGGAGCAAACAGGAUUAGAUACCCCCGUAGUCCCUGUCUCUUAUAC